UGAUAUAAGUGUCAAAAGCAAAAGGCGUAUUACAUGCUUGCAUGUAAUACGCCUUUUAUUUUUGACCUGAACAGUUAUGAAGAAGGAGCACGGUAGUGCGGAUUCUUCAUAACUGUAGAAUUGCGAGAGCACCAUGUGCGGAGCAAUUCGUAUAUCA
rnacentral:sRNA from 1 species